UGCUUCAAUUUCCGUCGCUCAUUGCAAACGGUAUCACACUACAUUCACUCAAUUUUGAGUUCAAUCUUGCAACUUCAUGGAGAUCUGCUGGUUACACCAAAACCCGUAAACGAUGGAUGUACAAAUCAGUGUUGUGAAAAGCGUUCGGGGCGCGAGGCGGUCAAAGCGUGAAUGUAAUCGCCCCGAUGCGGCGGGGUCGUGCGAGAUCCGUGGAGCGUCUGGGGCGAGCCGAUUUAGGAUUUAAAUAUUAGCGACAUUUCAUCUUCUUCCUUGAAUAAAUAAAAAAAACGGUAACUUCCAACUUUCCAUACUCUUAUUUAUGGAAUACCUACACCUUCCUUUCCAUACUCUUAUUUAUGGAAUACCUGCAACUUUCCAUACUCUUAUUUAUGGAAUACCUACACCUUCCUUUCUCUUCAGCCGCCUUCUCCUCUUUCUUCUUCUUUUUUCUUCUUCUUCUUUCUUCUUCAUCAUACCCACCUUCUUCUUCAGCAAAAGCAAAAAUCACUUUAUUCUUCAGCCGCCACUCCUUCGCCUUUCCAGUCGUGAGUCCAGAUUCUCAAGGACAUUUUUAUACAAAAUGUCUCAAGACCCAGCUAGGAAAUAUGCAAGAGCUGGUCCGCAUACCAGAUAUAAACUUACAUGCAACUUUUGCGACAAGGUGAUUGCAUCAGGAGUUCGAAGGCUCAAAGAACAUUUGGUAUUAACAGUGUCAUCUACACCUAUUCUAUUGAGUGAUAUUGAACGAAUGGUUACUUGGUAGGAUGGAGGAUGAGGAUAAUGAUCUUGAUGAUUUGGUAUUUGAGAAUGAUGAUCUUCGUUGGAUGGACGUUGGUAGAGCGUCGGAAGCAGUGUACCAUACUAGAGGUAGCACAAGCACAAGAGAACAAGCCUCAAGCUCUAUGUGUGCUUAUACUCUUAUGGAUAAUGAAGAUGACAGUGAAGAUAUUAAUUUGGUUGUAUCCGAUGAAGAAGAGGACCAACCUCUGAGUGAUGAUAAUAUUAUUUAGUUAUUUAUUUUAUGUUUUGCAACUUGUUUUGGAACUUUGAUGAUUUCUGAUGAUAAAAUUCAGUUAUUUAGUUA